rnacentral:lncRNA from 1 species
CCUUGUCGAUUGCUUUCUUUCUAGAGAAAUUUGGCUUGGCCUUUUCUGGCACAAGAAGGAAAAAUUAAUUGACGUUUUCGUUAAGGGACAAAGCAAGGUAGUGCAGCAAACCUUUACCGUCGUUUAUUCGAGUAUCGAAUGCUUAAUUAUUGGCUCAGUCUCCAAAGGAUACGAACAUUAUAUAUAUGGAUAGUACUUCGAAAUGGACAACGAAGAGAGUACGUAGAAAAACC